rnacentral:rRNA from 1 species
GACGAACGCUGGCGGCGUGCUUAACACACGCAAGUCGAACGGAAGGGCCCUGCUUUUGUGGGGUGCUCGAGUGGCGAACGGGUGAGUAACACGUGAGUAACCUGCCCUUGACUUUGGGAUAACUUCAGGAAACUGGGGCUAAUACCGGAUAGGAGCUCCUGCUGCAUGGUGGGGGUUGGAAAGUUUCGGCGGUUGGGGAUGGACUCGCGGCUUAUCAGCUUGUUGGUGGGGUAGUGGCUUACCAAGGCUUUGACGGGUAGCCGGCCUGAGAGGGUGACCGGCCACAUUGGGACUGAGAUACGGCCCAGACUCCUACGGGAGGCAGCAGUGGGGAAUAUUGCACAAUGGGCGGAAGCCUGAUGCAGCAACGCCGCGUGCGGGAUGACGGCCUUCGGGUUGUAAACCGCUUUCGCCUGUGACGAAGCGUGAGUGACGGUAAUGGGUAAAGAAGCACCGGCUAACUACGUG